rnacentral:rRNA from 1 species
AGUGAACGCUGGCGGUAGGCCUAACACAUGCAAGUCGAACGGCAGCACAGUAAGAGCUUGCUCUUACGGGUGGCGAGUGGCGGACGGGUGAGGAAUACAUCGGAAUCUACUUUUUCGUGGGGGAUAACGUAGGGAAACUUACGCUAAUACCGCAUACGACCUACGGGUGAAAGCAGGGGAUCUUCGGACCUUGCGCGAUUGAAUGAGCCGAUGUCGGAUUAGCUAGUUGGCGGGGUAAAGGCCCACCAAGGCGACGAUCCGUAGCUGGUCUGAGAGGAUGAUCAGCCACAGGGGAAAUAGGACACGGCGCAGACUCGGAAGGGAGGCAGGAGUGGGGAAUAUGGGAGAAGGGGCGGAAGCGUGAACUAGCCAUAGCGCGAGGGUGAAGAAGGCCAUCGGGUUGUAAAGCCCUUUUGUUGGGAAAGAAAAGCAGCAGGUUAAGACCCAGCUGUUCGAACGGUACCCAAAGAAUAAGCACGGGUAAACUCGGG